CCAGGCUCCACCUCAGUGGGCACCUGGCUGGAGUUACUCCAGGGACCCCCUCCCACCGGGCUGUCUCAUCUGCACCCUUGGGAUGCGGGGCAAAGAGGGCUGGGAGUCUUCCAGUUCAGCAGGUCAAGUGCCCUCAGUAUGGCACUUUGCCCCACUCUGUGCUGUGGAGCCCCUCUGGCUCCUCCUCUCCAAGAGUUACUGAGACAUAUAUUGCAGCAACAGGUCAGAAUCAAGCUAAACUGACAAGUAAUUUUUAGGAAAAAAGAUCUGAAGGAAGCACUGAAAUUGAAGAAGAAACUCUAAGCCACACAUAAGAAUUUGCUAAUUCAGCCAAGCUCAGAGACCAAAACCCCUUUCUUUCAUGAAGCAUGUUCCUGGAAUUGCAAGGUGAAUUGCUAAAUCAGAACUUUCUAGGAGCAAAUUUUCCACAGCUUGACUUGGAAAUGCAUGUGCUCCCACAGUCACGUGACCCCCUUGGACGACAAACACAGCGACUUUGUGAGCAGUCUGCCGAUGAUAACAUUCCUGCAGCAGCCUUCUGAACAGUCAGGUCAGAGUCUCAGCCAAGAAAAGAGACCAAAACCCCUUUCUUUCAUGAAGCUUUUUCCUGGAAGUGCAAGGUAAAUUGCUAAACCAGAACUUUCUAGGAGGUAAGAUCUUUCCAGUGGCUAGAGGACUGCUGUGGUGGCUGCUGUUCCAUGCCUGCCUGCCACAUACACAGGCUGAGAACAGAUGAGAGCUCAGGCCACAACAAGUAGCCACAGGCACACACUUCUCUGGCUGUACUUCUUCUAGAACAACCGCCAGUCAUGCAUCCAUUCAGCAUGUUUUCCUUGAACAUUAAAUACUAGGCGUGUGUUAGUGCUGAGGUAGACACAAAGAAAGGUAAGGAAUUAUCCUGCCCCCAAGGAGGCUGUGGUCUGAUGAUAUAUCGCAUCAAAUGCAGAUGAAAGAACACAGGCAAGAGGUGAGGGUCCUGACUUGGUGAUUUGGAAGUCACCCAGUGGCUCAGUUUCCCCAUUUAGACAUUGAGGGUUUCAGGCUGGAGGAGAGGCAAUGUUGCUUCUAUGCCAUUUGCUCUUCUCUUGUCACUGUGGGUGCCACUUAAUUUCAUAUAAGCUUCUGUGCUCAGGUCUCUGAAGAAAGCAGAACAAUUCCAUAGGGUGGAACUUGAAAUUCUAGACACAAACUGUAUUUCCAUAGGUCUCACUAAGCUUGGGGCAAAAUGACCAGUUAGAAAUAAUUGGGCUUGGCCAGGUACAGUGGCUCAUGCCUGUAAUCCCAACACUUCGGGAGGCUGAGGUGGGCAGAUCACUUUGAGCUCAGGAGUUCAAGACCAGCCUGGGCAACAUAGUGAAACCCUGUCUCUACUAAAAAUACAAAAAUUAGCUGGGUGUGGUGGUGUGUGCCUGUAAUCCCAGCUACUUGGGAGGCUGAGGCAGGAGAAUCGCUUGAACCCAGGAGGCAGAGGUUGCAGUGAGCCGAGACUGUGCCAUUGCACUCCAGCAUGGGCAACAAGAGCAAAACUCUGUCUCAAAAAAAAAAAAAAAAGAAAGAAAGAAAGAAAAGAAAUCAAAGAAAAGAAAAGAAAAGAAAUAGUGGGGCUCUUGCUCUUUUCCACCUCUCAACUUGGGGCAUCCUUGCUCCUUUCCAAGGAGUCUCUCAGGUACAUCUUGGGACCACAGGUAGAUCUCACAAAUGCUCAUAAUCCCCUGGCUGCCCAGGUCCCUGCACCCCCAUGCCACGCAGGGGCGCUGCAGCCUUCCCAUGGUGUCUGGUAUUGCAGGUGUUCCUUCCUCCCGCAGCUACUGAAGCCGCUAAGACAUCACUGCCUCCUCUCCCAAAGGUACAAUUGCUGCUGCUCCCUGGAGAUGCCCCAGUACUCCCACAGCCUUAGAACAGGUGGGGCCCUGACAUGACCACUGCCUCUGCCCCCAGUUGUCCACCCAUUAAGCUGUUGCGUGUCAACAUUCUCUGUGCUGUUUCAAAGGACUUCCCAGGGAAAGUUCUUUUCCCAAAACUUUUUGCCACAUUCUGUUAUACAUGUCCCAGAGCAGCCCUACCUUGUCCUGGGGUUUGGUGAGAGACAGUAGAGUCUGGGCAGAGUGGUGAAGAACUCACGGUCAAGGGCCAGAAGGUCCGGUUUGAAUCCUGGUUCCUCUACUUAGAAGCUGUGUGAUGUAGGGCAAGUUGCUUCUCCUCUCUGGGCUUCAGUUCCUCUUGCAUCAAAUGGGAAUGACAACAUUAUUUAUUUCAAGGGGGUUGUGACAAUCCAUUGAGUCAUCACAUAUCAAAUGUUUGGAGCAGCAUUUGGUGCACACUAAAUGCUUGAUAUGUCCUUGUAUUUGUACUUUUAAAGAUGGUGAAUUCUCAAAGAGCCAGCAAGAGCUUGUGUUUAUUUCUGUUUGUAGCUCUAGCUCAUAGCACCUGCUUUGCACAGGACAGGUGCCCAUUUGGUGAACAAAUGAGUUAAUGAAUAAAUGAGUAAAACAAACAUGAGCCCAGAAGACUGGAUAGAGGAAGGCCAUCAACCCGGAAAACAACCACAAUGCCACCACCGGAAAGGCUCAAGGGCCUCAGAGGAUUCUGGGAGAGUGACAGAGGAGGCAAUGGGAAGAACAGAGCUCCACCCAGUUCAUCCCUACACCCAUGGUAAACUCCCAGUAACACACCCAGUAGUGGAGCCAACAUGGAUAAGAGAAAUUUGGCUACACUGUGAAUGGUUCCCAUCCUCAGAGCAGCCCUGCCCUCAAAGGGUGGGAAGAUGUUGUCUUCCUGGGGAGACGGAAAGUUAGGAAGGGUGGGCAUGGAGGCCUUAGGAAGAGAUAGCCUUGAUCAUCUGAAACUUUGAGUUCCUUGUAUAGUCAGUUGUAUAUAAGUUUCACUUUAUUUCUGUGCUUUUUGUGAGAAUACAGACUGAAAAAAUGGUUUUAUCCACUCACAUUAGGACAAUUGAAAUUUUCAGACUUCACUUGCAUGCAUGGCAGGGUUUCACUGUCCAUAUAGUUCUUGCCCCCACCUCUUAAAAGCAUGCCCAAAGCUAAGACACUAUAGAUCUGGGUGACAACAUGCAGCUCCAAGCCUCUCUCGACAAGACCACUGCCCCCUCCCUUUUGUCUCCCCGUCUUACUUUUCUCUUCCACCACAUCUACCAGCCACAGUUUUAUUUUUUUGUAUGUCCCUGCCUCUCCUGCAAGGAGUUAAGGGACUGGGUCACAGUCCUAGAACUGCUGACCUAUAUCUGUGCUAUGAAGAGCAGCAGCUCAUGGCUCAGGCCCUCAGGAAAAGUGACAGCAGUGAUCUUGUGUGUUAACGUCACUGCCUUCCACAUUCAUAGCUUCACAUACUGCAUCAUUCAUUGAAAAAUUAAAAUUCAUCAUCUUUCCCCAGAAUGAGGCUAACAGACUUUAAUUGUAAGAAUCAGGAAAAGCUGUGACAUUUUAAUUAUAACAGUUUUUAAUUAAAGGAGUAUUACCUCAUUUGAUCUGUUAAAGAAAAAUUAUUCAUGAUACUUGUCAAAGAUGGCAAGGUAGGCUUUAUGCAAGGGGUCCAUGGUGAUUGGCAUCAGGUCUUGUAGUGAGGGAAAAAGACUGGACUCAACUCUGGCUCCAAAAAGGAUAAGUAGGGAUUUAUUACAAGGAGCAGGGUGGAGGUCAAUAGAUGGAAAAUUACUAUGAGGAAUUGUCAGGGAUAAGGUGUUUCUGGCUAAAUUGACUUGACAGUUUAUUGCUGAAGGCAAGGGUGGUCAGAUACCAGAGUAGGGGUCUUGGUUAAUUUGGCUUAGCAGGAUUCUUGCUCAAACUGGAUUCUGGCCGGGCAUGGUGGCUCAUGCUUGUAAUCCCAGCAUUUUGGGAGGCUGAGGAGAAGGGCGAUCAUGAGGUCAGGAGUUCAAGACCAGCCUGGCCAACACAGUGAAACCCCAUCUCUACUAAAAAUACAAAAAUUAGCUGAGUGUGGUG
rnacentral:lncRNA from 1 species